rnacentral:lncRNA from 10 species
GAAAAUUAAUACUUUCUGCCGGGCAUGGUGGCUCACACCUGUAAUCCCAGCACUUUGGGAGGCUGAGGCAGGAGAAUUGCUUGAACGCAGGAUGUAGAGGUUGCAGUGAGCCAAGAUCACACCACUGCAUUCCAGCCUAGGAGACAGAGCAAGACUCUGUCUUGGGGGUGGGGGGAAUAAGUUUACUUUUUAAUUCAUAAAGUAAAAUAGUAGCAAGGUCAAUGUUGAAUUUCCUUGAAGUGAAUGUUAUGGUACAUAAUGCAGAUCUGCACCCCACCCCUUUCUAAAUGGAGGUACUCACUUCCUCAACUUUUGGGAAUAUUGCCAACAGAGAGUUCAAAGGUAAGUCCCUCACGAGGACUGAAGAGAGCUGCCUUGUCCAAGGUUACACCACCUCACCAGUGACAGCUUUAAUCCAAUAACUGUUUAAAGAGAAGAUGACAGGAAGAGAGGGGUGCUCCAAAGACCUGGCCACUUUGCUUCAAUGUGAAAUGACUCUAAAGAGCUCCAGGGAGCUCCAGAGCUCCCUGUGAAAUCAGCUGCCAACUUCUCCCUCUUGCUGUUUUCUCCCUCACACAUGUUGCUUCCAAGCACACUCUCCAAUAAACCUCCCAUACACUAAGUUCC